rnacentral:tRNA from 1 species
AUUUAGAUAGUUUAAUAAAAAUAUUGAUUUGUGGUAUCAAAGUUAUAGUUUUAUUCUAAAUU